CGCCCGCAGCACACACGCGGGCAGCAUAUUAUUUUAGAGGUCAUCCGUCUUUCCUUCAAGUUGAAGAGACAUGACCACCGCCACGAGUGUCUCGGUAAGGCCGACGACCGCCAGCGGAGUGCUGUGUAACAGUUUUCCAACGGCCGCAACCAUCUCUGUGGCCAGCACGAAGACACAUACGCACCCCCUUCCUGAGGUCUUGCGCGGCAAGCGGUCCGCGGAGAGUCUCUCUUGGGUGACCGAGCUUUACGGGCAUGAGGCGUCACUGCCGGCCGUGUUCGCCUCGGUAGCCGCCGAUGGAACCCGAAAGUCGAUCAAGAAGGCGUCGCCGCUUGCCAACACCGCCAAUCAAUCAUUCCUCGCCUCCUCCGGGCAGCUGGGGACGCUGCCAUCCUUGUCGGCGCUGCACAAUCAGAACCAGCGUGUGCCACACAUGCGGUCGCUCACGUCGGCGGAACUGUCCGGCGCCGUUGGUGGCGGGGCGAGCUCCAGUGCGCAGGUGCUCAGUGAUGUCUCUGCAGCGUCGUUCAGCGCGACAGUGGCGGCGGCAGCGACCAAUGUGACGUCGUUUUAUCGUCACCGCAAGAACGUCUCGUGGCGUUGCAUGCUGUGCGGUUACCACGUGCUAGCGAUGGAUCAGGAUGGCGCUCCGCUACCCUUCUCGGCCUCCGCGUUUGGCAACGUUCUCCCGAUGACGUGUCCGCGUUGCAAGAUGAGCCACACAUCGUGGCAGCCGUCAACGCCGUUCAGCGAGGAAGGCAAUCACAUGAACCUGCCGACAACGCUCUCCAAUCGCUACCUUGUGCCGCUUCCCGGUCAGCAGCCGCUGCGCGCGAAGGACGCGGAGGCAACAGGCGCGGCUGGACAGUCCGGCGCCGCAGUUGAAACGGCGUCUUCGGUGGUGGCAGGCAGUCGCUCAGCCCAGCGCGUAGGUUUUGUGUCCGCCCUUGCAACUCAGCAGCGCAGCAUCCCGGCCAUCUCCGCUGUCUCCUCGGUGCAGCGUCGUGCCUACUACUGCGGCCGCUGCGGCCGUCGCCUGCUCCGCAUGGACGUGAAUGGAGAACUCGUGGAUAUGGAUCGCGACAAGGACGGCCAAGUCCUUCCCAUAACGUGCCCUGGCUGUAUGGAGAGCCACAGCGACUGGGUUCUGAAGCCGUACGCCGUGAACCGAUGAAGGCGUGCGCCGCUCUGCCAGCACCCUCGUGAGCGGAGUCCGCCUGUGUGCCUCUGUUAUCUUACUGUGGAACUCAACCCUGUACAUAGUCAUGCGGUUGUGGAGACGCUGAAAGAGGUGGGGGUGGGGAGAGGCUGUGGCCGAGUGGCGUGCCCGUCCCGCGCGCACACUGCCCCUCGCUGCCCCCUACAUCUCCCCGCUCUGCUCUUCACCUUUCGCCGCCCUCUGGUUGAUCGCUCUCUGGCACGUGUACGUGUGUGUGCCCCCUCCUCUCCCUCUAUGGUUCUCUGCCAUGCCAUGUUCAACGGUGCACAUACGAAGAUGUGCACGCGUCGUCUAGAUGUGUCGGGUAACUCUCAUGCAGACGCCGUUCAGGCACACCUGGCUCGCGCGCUUGCGUGCGCAGGCGACCACCUCCCACCCUCCUCACGGUUGCGUCCAGCGAACGGCGUAGCCUGAUUCGACAAUCUCGCACACAGACAGAGAGGGGGGAGAACAGGACAUUCGUGAGUGUCGUCCAUGCUGCACCCCCGCACGCACGCACCCUCUCUCUCCAACAGUGCUCUCUCAUGGCUCCCACCCUCCCUUGCUAGCCGCAGCCGUCGAGACGGCCACCGUGAGUCUUUAGUGUGCCGCUCCGUCCGUGCGUGCCGUGGUGAGGGUGCAGCGGGCUGGCGGCCUUUGUGCUGCUGCCCUUGCUUUGGCCUCCUCAUGAUGUCUCCCCCUCUGGUGACAGGAGGGCACACAUACACACACCUCUCAGAGCGUGGUGUCUCAGGGCCCUGUGCGACUCUCCCCGCCCCCCACUCUCUGUGUUAGGGAGGCCAAACAGCCCCCCCCCUUCUACCUCUGCCAAUGCAGAACCCACCUCUGGCGGUGCGUCGGGACGGCCGACGACAGUGAACACGUCUGCGCCAUCCAUACGAUGGGCAACACGUGUCAGGGUGACUCGAGCGUAUGCCUCACACGGCCCUCACACGGCCCACUGAUGUGUGGGGAGGAGCCUGCGUGCCACCCCGAGGGAGGGGGGAGGGGGGAUGCACCAGGCGUGGCGACCGGCAUGAUUGGGGGGCGGCUGUGUGGGGUGGGGGAGUAGAGCUUGAGACAGGGUCGGUCGUGGGGCGUGGUGUGGCGCUCAGCGCGUGCUGCGCCGCAGAGAAAUAAACACGCGCGCACACACACACACAUGUUAAAGAGCAAACAACGAAAGACUUUGUCACCUUCUUCACUUGCCGUGCCGCCUCCUCUCAUCCGGCAGUGGCGCGCGCGCCUUUCUCUCAAGUAGCGCAUGUAUGCAGGCAUACAGUCGA
rnacentral:misc_RNA from 1 species